GCCGCCCAUCCGCCGUCGCCGCCGACCAUCCCUGCUCUGCCGCUGCCACCAACCGUCCGCAGCUGAUCUGGGUCCCAUCUCCGCCAUGCCAGCCAGCCGAUCCGCAGCAGUAGACUGGACCAACUCGUCGCUACUAUAGCCAAACCGCUCUCCGCCCUCCUCCGCCUCCCUCACAUCCCAUCUCGCGCCCUCCACCCGUGAGCUUGCUGCUCCGCCGGCGACGCUACGCCUCUAGCGCCCUCCACCUCCUUCUCUAGGCUGGCGGGAUGUCUACUCCCCUCCUCCAAGCAGGCUGCCCGUCCCGCUCAUCGCCUCCCCGCCCAGGCGCCCGAGCCCCAGAUCGAGGUCGACCUCGUCUCCGCCGUCCGUUCGCCACACCUCAGCCCCCAAGUAUUCCCUAACCCUUUUAUUCUCCUUUACAUGUAUGUGCUACUGGCGUGUGCUGAUGUGUCCUGUGUGUAUGUGCGAUUGUGCGUUGGUGUGGUGCUAUCUGCAGCCUGUUGUAGAUGAAUCAAUCUAUUAGGAUUUGGGCUGCUGCUUGCUAGCCCGCUCGUGUAUGUGCUGCUAGGUUGCUGCUGCUAAGGUUAUACUAACUACUGACGUGUUGGGCUAAUGAACUGUAGAUGAUAUCUGCUGCUAGGUUGCUGCUGCUACUAAUUAAUUAAUGAAGUUAUCUUAGUUGAUUGCUCCAGCUGGUAUUUUGUUGCUGCUAAACCUAAGAUUUGCUUGCAAUUUGUAGGUAUUGUCAAGAAAUGGACAUUGAUCCAGCUGGUAUUCUUGCAAUUGUAGCAAAAUUAUAACAUAUUAUAUAGUUUGUCCUCUGUUUGUACGCUUCCCAGCUCCUGUUUUUACGAUUUUACCCUACACGCUUAAGCGGCGCUUAAGCUCGCCUAAGCUGUAGUUCCUCUAGGCUGAGCCUCACCGCUCGCUUAGCGCUCGGCGCUUUUUUGAUUAAGGGUUUGUGAGAGAUAUAUCUCCUUAAAUUUUACCAACGAGAGUUUUUUGCAAGUUAGGUUGAUAUCUUGGCUGGAGCGUUUGGAAUCGGCCCUCACAGGGGAUGAUGGCUGAAAAAAAAGGAGCCAGGAAGAUGUCAAGGUAGGUGACGGUGAGGCUGAUGUUGGUGCCCUGGAGCGCACUCAGACUUUUUGAACUAUCAAAGUCAUAGUAGCAUCAGGAUUCAGGACACGUGUUCCCUGAUGGUUGGGUGCUUGCAGUUUCAGUUUUUGUUGGCAUAUCAUGUGGAAGAAUAGGGUCUGGGAAAAUAUCAUGAGUAUGCCACAGACGGAGAAGCUGCCGUAGGGAUUGACCGACCAUGACACCAGCUCCUCCUCCCACAGCAGACCUCGAACAUUCGAGAGCUCUGACACGCAGCCACGGCGCCGUGCAUCCUGCCUACAUGGAUGUUCCUGCCAUUUUUGUAAGUACAAGUUAUUUCUGGAGGCAAAUGUGCUGGAAAGAAGUGACAAUCGAACUAUCAUCAGCACAUUGAUUAUAUUUAGCAUAAGUAACUGUUUUGGAGAAAAAAUUGGUGGAUCAAAUAGCAUUCAGAUUUAGACAUUUUGUGUGCAUAAGAAAAGCUAUGCAUUGGUGGUUAUUCCUAUUGUUAUUUUACUAACUUGGCUCAGCGAAGAACUAUCAUAAUGGGUUGUUGCUUGAGAGAUGCAUACCAUCCGCAAGUUUGCGCAUUGCUGUAGUAAUGAUUGCUUCCAUGUUUUAUAAGGUCUUCUUUCACUGCUUUCUAUUUUCCUCCUUUCUAAAGUUGUGUAAUUUUAUCUGCUUUCUACUUUCCUCCUUUCUAAAGUUGGUGGUUUAUAAGCCUAACCUCAAAUUAACAUGGCAAAAGUUGAGUUCAUUAAUUCACUUGAUAGACGUGAUAGAAAUCAAAUAAUGUUGUAUCUUUAUCUGAUCAUUGCUACAGUUUGCCUUCUGUUUGUUUCAGAUUAUAUUUCUUUUAUUGGAUGCACAAAUAACACUGCACAUUAUAUUAUAAAGAGAUAUUUUUGCAAGAAAAUUUCUAGAACCGACAAUUAGUUUGGAAUAAUUAAUAAUUAUAGAACUUCUGGAGAAUACUUCUAUUCGAGGUGCAAGACAUUUUUAGAAAAGGAGAUGACUUUUGAGUUUUUCCCAUGCAAGUUAAUUAAAGGUUUUUUUAUUGGAUUACUAGCUGAACAUAAUUCAAUUUUAGUCUGCCCAUGAGUUGGCUGUAAUUUGGGUAUGAUGGUGCAAACUAAUCAAUGCAGCAGGCAAUAGCGAAUUCACAACAACAACUAGGAAAGCAAUAGUCUGCAUUUCUCUUUAGUACUGACUAAAGAGUAGCAAAUAUAUCAGUGUACAACAGCAAAAUUGUAUGUAAUGCAAAAUCCAGCAGCAAUGCAUGAAGCGAUCAACCCAGCUUGGUAUAGCAUCCCCGGCCGCCUGUUGCUCCUCUUCACCGCAUCCCCGGAACUUCACUGCAUCCCAGAAAUUCAACUAUUUUUGAGAUAUUAUGCGGCUAUUUUUUCUAUGACCUGUAAUCUAUGUUAAAUGGCAGCUCCAUCAGCGGCAUCACACGUGAAGGGCAUGCGAUGGUGAACACUCUCAAGUGCCCUCUGCUAUAUUUUAUACCAGGGAGACAAGCUGGAGCUCGAUGAGCUUGAUAUUACUUGAUGAGAACAUGACGUAAUCUCUUCAUGAGGGAGAGAAUAACGUUCAAUUAGUAGCAACAAAGCGCGGUUCAUCAAUUGUGGAAGACAAGUGUAUGUAGUAUGUAACCGCACCCGUAAUAUGUAUUGAUUAUUCAUUCGGCUUCUAUUGGUUAUUUGGUUUUUGUUUUGUUACAUGAACAAGAAAUUAAGACACUUGAGAGUUCAGAAGAACUGUAAUUUGUAUGCACCCAUAGAUUUCACAGGCCGUUGUUGACACUGACAUUGAAGUUGUUGUUGUGCUACAAGGAGCUGGUACCAAAUCCUGAAUGGAACACUUAUUGAGACUUAU